UAUUAAUGGCUUUGUUAUUGUGAAAUUGAGAUUCAGUGUUUAUUUGUUGCUUUGAAUUGCAUUCAGAGCUACAAAAUUUCGACAAUGACUUCAAGAAAGCGUUGCUACAAUGGAUUAAAACACGCAAAACAACAUAUGAUAUUAUUUUUCAUUUUAUUCGGCGUACUUUGUGGAUUUUUACUCGGUUCUUUAUUGCAUGGCAAUGUUCAGUCGUCCAUAGAUCCAACACCGAAGGAAUAUGCAAUGUAGAUGUCGUUUCUUGGUGAGAUUUGGGUGAGAGCAUUAAGACUUUUGGUCCUUCCUUUGAUUGUAUCCAGCCUGCUUUUCGCAGUCGCUGAAUUGGAGUCAAAACAGAGCGGAAAAUUGGGAAGAAGAACAUUGCUGUAUUGUCUUAUGACUACAAUGUUUGGGGAGUAAUUUGUUUAUUUGCAUUUAACCUGGAAAUGUUAACGUGAAAGAACCAGAACCGAACGAAGAAAAAGUUGAACCGAUACCUUCUGUGCUUCAUCUUACAAGAUAAAUCCCAUUUCACCACCUACCUAUGUUGUCAUGACAACAACAAUGAAUCGAGAAGAAGGUUUGAAAGCUUUGGAAACAUCUAUCAAAGCCAUUGAAGAAGUCAUUAUGAACAAGAAAGGAACAUUUGUUUUACAACAAGCUAUAAAUCCCAUUUCACCACCAACCUAUGUUGUCAUGACAACAACAAUAAAUCGAGAAGAAGGUUUAAAAGCUUUGGAAACAUCUAUCAAAGCCAUUGAAGAAGUCAUUAUGAACAAGAAAGGAACAUUUGUUUUACAACAAGCUCCAAAGGUUGUCACAGAUAUGGAUGAAGUAGAUUUUGCAAAGGAACUGGAAAAACUUGAACGUCAAAAUGCAGAAGUUGAUGGUGAUGACGAUAAUCCUGACAAUGAAGAAGAACAAGAUGAAGUAAAAGUGAUUAUGGAUUUUCAUUGGUUUCAUAAUUCCUCGAGAUUUUGAUUGGUUGGGAGAAACUUGGUUGUACUUUUGGACUUUGGCGCUGGAAAAUUUGUAUUCAACGUUACAUUCAACGUAACAUGCAAACGAAUGAAGACGACGAACGACUAACACAGAGGUUUUAAUAAGAAACCCUACAGGGAAGUGUCAAGAAGCAGUGACAGCCUAGAUAGAGGAGAGGAUCACAUCACAAAAAGUUGCCCUCUAAAGCGAAAAGCGUAUAAAACGUGUAAAACUGGAGACUUGACUAGUUGAUUUGAUUUUUGUAUAUUUCUUUACGUGGCUAACUUGGCUUUAAAAAAAAAGAUCGUCAUUUACAAAAAGAUGAACGACAAAGGUGAAAAAUCCUGUGUUGGAAAAGAGAAUGGGCUAGAAGAUGGCAACGAAAGAUACGACAAUACAUUAGAAAAUGAAAGUAUGGAAGAUGGUGAAAAUACUCAACCAAUUCUAAAUUUACCCAUUCAAGAGACUUUUCCUGAAGAAUUUUUGUUUGACCUGCUAGACUUUACAAGAGAAGAUAGAUGUGCGAUGGAAAUGCUGAACGAGGAUUUUGUGUUAAAUGUUCCAUCAACUUUGGAAAAACUUUAAAGAUUUGUUAACUUCAACGUAAAAUGAUUUAUACUAAGAGAAAUAAAUCAUGUACAUAUUAUAUGAUAAAUAGGUUUGUGUAAAACGUAAGAACUCAAGAAAAUAUUUUGUUUUAACCAUUCAAUAAUCAAUGGAAGAAAGGCAUACUGUAAUCUUAUGUACUAAUGAACAAUUUAAAAUAAUCUGUACGUUUUUCUAAAGCUCUUUCUUAAUAAUAUUUAUUUUAUUAAUGUAAUUAUUAAUAUUUAUUGAAUGCUAAUUUUUUCGUGCUGUCA